rnacentral:tRNA from 1 species
GGGCCCAUAGCUCAGCCGGUUAGAGCAGCGGACUCAUAAUCCGCGUGUCCAAGGUUC